AUGAUUAAAGGGUAUUCCGGGUAGACGAUGGGGAUGCGUUCAUUAGAUAGUAGGCGGGGUAAAGGCCCACCUAGUCUUCGAUGGAUAGGGGGUUCCUGAGAGGAAGGUCCCCCANAUUGGAACUGAGACACGGGUCCAAACUCCUACGGGAGGCAGCAGUGAGGAAUAUUGGUCAAUGGGCGAGAGCCUGAACCAGCCAAGUAGCGUGAAGGAUGACUGCCCUAUGGGUUGUAAACUUCUUUUAUAAAGGAAUAAAGUCGGGUAUGGAUACCCGUUUGCAUGUACUUUAUGAAUAAGGAUCGGCUAACUCCGUG
rnacentral:rRNA from 1 species